rnacentral:rRNA from 1 species
GCCUACGGGGCGCAGCAGUGGGGGAUAUUGCACAAUGGGGGGAACCCUGAUCCAGCGACGCCGCGUGAGUGAAGAAGUAUUUCGGUAUGUAAAGCUCUAUCAGCAGGGAAGAAAGAAAUGACGGUACCUGACUAAGAAGCCCUGGCUAACUACGUGCCAGCAGCCGCGGUAAUACGUAGGGGGCAAGCGUUACCCGGAUUUACUGGGUGUAAAGGGAGCGUAGACGGCGAUGCAAGUCUGAAGUGAAAGGCGGGGGCCCAACCCCCGGACUGCUUUGGAAACUGUAUGGCUGGAGUGCAGGAGAG